UUCUUAUCCAGAGAGGUGGAGGGACUGGCCCUUUGAUACCUCGGCAACAGGCUUAUUUAAAGUACUGUGCCAAUUCCAGAAGCGUAAUGCUUGAAGAUAAGAA
rnacentral:ncRNA from 2 species